ensembl:lncRNA
CAGUCCAUAAAGAGUGUUUGCUGUUGACACCUCAAAGCUCUAAAACACAGAGUGAAGUCACUUUGCCUGAAGGAAAUCUCAAAGAACCCAAAGAGAAGAGAGUAAAAAAAGAAACCUUUUCAGUGGUGCUGAUCGGUUCAGCCACAGCGACGUUGAUUUUCGCCUUAGCUCUGUUGCUUUGGGUUUUCCUUCUGACUGCUGAGAGAUUCAAACCAGUUCCUGAGUGUUGUCCGCAGCCUAAAGGCCUGUUGUCUGCAGCCAACCUGCAGUACACACCUCUGUACAGCCACACAGAGAGACAAACAACACCACUAGAAGGUCCCUCACAGAUGGUUUCAGCUGAAGAUCCUUCGAGAGGCCUGAACUCGCUGAGCCAUGACAAUGAAUUUCAUCCUACUUCUAUUGUAAUUAAUGUCACCACCAACAUCAAGCCCUCCAGUCAGAACAAAGAAAACAUCACACAGGAGAAACAGCAAAAGUUCACCACAGAGGAGAUGGAGCAAAAACUGCAGACAAUAUGGGAGAUUGCUCAAGGUCAGAGUAUUGAGAUGCUCGACUACGACUCAGUCCAGGACUUGUCUCUGCUGCUCGACUCUGCUGGCAACGUCGACAUUUUGAGGAGGCUGGGGCGAUCCUUGGGGGUACCACCUCAGGUUAUUGCCCAUCUCCAAGGCUUCCAGGAGCUUUUCCAGUACCUGCGCACCUCCACCUACACGCUGCUGCCCCAGCUGGCCCAGGCUGCAGCGCUCCUGCCUAAUCAUGAAGUCGUUGCUCGGAUACACAGAGCAGUGGUGAACAAGUGACCACUUAGAC